GCAGACUACUUUACCCGGAGCAUUUAGAACAGUUUUCGGCUAUAGUGUGUGCGCGCGCCCCCUUGAGUCAGUGUCACUGUCAGAUCUGAUUAAAUGAAGGCAAGCCGGCUUCAGCUCGACUUCAGUCUCUUGUUGCCGCUCCCAGCAACCCGUUUCUCUGAUGCCUUUUGAGGUGCGUUGGCACACAAAAAAAACAAACCUGUGACAAAAGUCAUGAAAUUAUAUAAUAAGCACAAUAUUCAUACUAAGAUUCCCAAUUUACAUACAUAUGUACAUAUGAAUGCGGCGCAUUCAUGAAUGGACCGCAGCUUCCUUCGUAUGUAUUGUUGUCGUUGUCGCUACUUAUGUCACUGUAAGUGAUGCAAAAAGUUGUGAAACUCACUGACGUUCUUGAAGAUAUACAUACAUACAUACAUACAUAUGUAAGUGUGUACAUUUAUACAUACUACUCGUAUGGAGCUGGGCAUUUCUGUCGGCUGUCAUUUACUCAGUCACCAGGUAGUCGGUUCGAUUUAAAUCAAGUUGAGGGCCGUUAAUAUAUAAAUAUGGGCGGAGAAAGAUGCGCAGAUUAAAAAAGGAUCAGAUCAAUCCAGAGCUAAUCAUUGAAAAUAAAAGCGUUGGGCCAUCCAUUGCACAUUGGGCCAGACAGCCUAAAUUUAUAAAUAAAUUCAAAAAAGUUAGAGACUUGAAACUAGGUACAUUUCAUUGUAACGAUAUAUGUAUGUAUGCAUAUAAAAACUGAGAUACUGUACCGUCCUGCCUUUCAUACAUAAACUCGUAAUUAAUCGAACAUCUGACUUUGAUGGGCUGCAAAAGUUUCAAGUGCACCAUUAACAUUUUUUGUGUUGUAAUAUUUUAAUAAUCCUGCGUAAA